rnacentral:lncRNA from 1 species
UUUUUUCACGAUACUUAACUAUUUACACGAUACACCUAAUUGUUUGAAGGUAGAAUGCCAAUAGAAGAUAGAAUUGCAGAGACUUCUUACGGACGAAAUUGGAGGUUUUUCAGGAUGCCGUCAGAAUGCUGUCAGCAUCGAACACUCAAGACGCAAGCACGCAAGCUAAAGUUUUGUGUUCAGAUAUUCUCAGUAACCCUGAAUCUAUCUGAAAUCUAUUUGGUUUUAUCGGUUGUCUGAGACAGCAAUUUCCAUCAUUUAAGCAUUUAAGGCCUACCAUGUAUUUUUUGCUGAGAUAGCUUGCUAUGAACUGAUCAUCACUUCUACAAGCUGUUAGCCUAUUUCCAUAUGUUUUCAGUUUUACUUCCUUGUCUAUGGAAUUUUUCUUUAAAAAGAAAGAAAACACAAAUGAAUCUUGCCUGAUUACAUUAAAGGGAAUUGUAAACAAUUCAUAAUUUUUUGAACUUCUAUAAUGAAGAUGUUGCCCAACAUGAGCACUGAGUUCAGCAAACAUGGUUAGUGGGACAAACAUUUCAAAACAAAACACAAAUCCUUUUAGUGAUACAACCCGUAGCAGCAGCCUUAAAGUGUGUUCCAUGAUACACCAACCCCUCAGAUAGCAUUCUGAUUGGAAGUUGUGGGGUGCUCUGUGUGCUGAUCUGCACAAUACUGGCUUUGUGCAAGAACCUACCAACAGACUAAACAGUAUUGAAAAACUCAUUUGUUAAGGAAAUUUGUGGCUAUAUAGUUGCUUGAGAUUACUCAUCUUGAGGCAGAAAUGUUUUUCUGUGGGGAAUAUUGGAUGCAUUGAUUUCUGAUACCAAACCAGCAUCAUUGGAAAGAUUGUAAAAUUAUUUUUUAAGGCAAUACAGGAAAUUCUAAAAGUUGGAGGAUGGUACAUUUGCAUGUUGCUCCAAGAAAAAAUAUUCUGUCCCUUGUGUCAUACUUUCAUAAUUCAGACAUCUAGGGGAGAAAUAACCAACUCCGAAUCACUUUCAUGGCCAUGUCAGCUACUCUGUCAGAGUGUCAGCUGUUUUAUUUCGCGUGGCGUCGUACCUGAGGAUGGUAGCUCAAAUUAACGUCUCCAUUCUUGAAAUUUCACCACUGAUUUUGUGUGUUUUGACCUGGAUUUUGAGAACGAAAUCCAUGCUAAGUUGUGAGAGGAGGAGCAUGGCUUGGCUUAAGACCUAGCCUUCACUAGUUUUUCAUCUCCGUUGUUAGGCAAAUACACCCACUUUGGUACCAAAGGUGCCAUUAGGUGAUGUUGCAGUUAACAGUUAAAGUUUUGAUAUUGUACUUAGAGAUCUUUUGGAUGUAUCUAAUAUACUCUGGUGGUUGCAGAAUCAUUCUGUGACAGAAAGGAAUGCUGUCGAAGUUUUGUUGUCAGUGUAAAUAAACGUUUCCCAAGAUCA